AUGCUUGUUUUGGCAGCACAUGUACUAAAAUUGGAAUAACACAGAAAAGGUUAGCGUGGCCCCUGUACAAGGAUAACACACAGAUUUGAGAAGUGUCCCAUAUUUUU